rnacentral:tRNA from 1 species
GAUGGCUCAGUGGUAGAGUGCUUGCCUUGCAUGCAUGAGGCCCUAGGUUUGAUUACUUAGCAUCA